AGUGAACGCUGGCGGCAGGCCUAAUACAUGCAAGUCGAACGGCAGCACAGCAGAGCUUGCUCUGUGGGUGGCGAGUGGCGGACGGGUGAGGAAUACGUGGGAAUCUGCCCAGUCGUGGGGGAUAACGUAGGGAAACUUACGCUAAUACCGCAUGCGCCCUUCGGGGAAAGCCGGGGACCUUCGGGCCUGGCGCGAUUGGAUGAGCCCACGUCGGAUUAGCUAGUUGGCGGGGUAAAGGCCCACCAAGGCGACGAUCCGUAGCUGGUCUGAGAGGAUGAUCAGCCACACUGGAACUGAGACACGGUCCAGACUCCUACGGGAGGCAGCAGUAGGGAAUAUUGGACAAUGGGCGCAAGCCUGAUCCAGCCAUGCCGCGUGAGUGAAGAAGGCCCUCGGGUGUAAAGCUCUUUGUCCGGUAAGAAAGCGCCGGGUUAAUACCCUGGUGUCCUGACGGUACCGGAGAAUAAGCACCGGCUAACUUCGUGCCAGCAGCCGCGGUAAU
rnacentral:rRNA from 1 species